AAAUUGAAGAGUUUGAUCAUGGCUCAGAUUGAACGCUGGCGGCAGGCCUAACACAUGCAAGUCGAACGGUAACAGGAAACAGCUUGCUGUUUCGCUGACGAGUGGCGGACGGGUGAGUAAUGUCUGGGAAACUGCCUGAUGGAGGGGGAUAACUACUGGAAACGGUAGCUAAUACCGCAUAACGUCGCAAGACCAAAGAGGGGGACCUUCGGGCCUCUUGCCAUCGGAUGUGCCCAGAUGGGAUUAGCUAGUAGGUGGGGUAACGGCUCACCUAGGCGACGAUCCCUAGCUGGUCUGAGAGGAUGACCAGCCACACUGGAACUGAGACACGGUCCAGACUCCUACGGGAGGCAGCAGUGGG
rnacentral:rRNA from 1 species